UGCAGUCGACGAACGAGCUUGCUCGUUAGUGGCGAACGGGUGAGUAGCGCGUAGGUGACCUGCCCUGAAGUGGGGGAUAACGGCCCGAAAGGGUUGCUAAUACCGCAUGUGGCGACGUGUUCAUUCCCGUCAUCAAAGCCGCGAGGCGCUUCAGGAGGGGCCUGCGUCCGAUUAGCUCGUGGGGGGGGAAACGGCUCACCAAGGCGACGAUCGGCAGGGGGUCUGAGAGGACGAUCACCCAGACUGGGACUGACACCCGGCCCACACUCCUACGGGAGGCACUACUCGGGAAUUUUGCUCAAUGGGGUAAACCCUGAAGCAGCAACGCCGCGUGAGGGAUGAAGGCCUUCGGGUUGAAAACCUCUUUUGUCAGGAACGAUGAUGACGGUACCUGACGAAUAAGUCACGGUUAACUACGUGCCAGCAGCCGCGGUAAUACGUAGGUGACCAGCGUUGCCCGGAUUUACUGGGCGUAAAGAGCGCGCAGGCGGUCGUUCAAGUCGAGUGUGAAAGCCCCCGGCUCAACUGGGGAGGGUCAUUCGAUACUGAUCGACUCGAAGGCAGGAGAGGGAAGCGGAAUUCACGGUGUAGUGGUGAAAUGCGUAAAUGUCGAGAGGAACACCAGUGGCAAAGGCGACUUCCUGACCUGUUCUUGACGCUGAGGCGCGAAAGCUAGGGUAGCAAACGGGAUUAUAUACCCUGGGUAGUCCUAGCCGUAAACGAUGGACACUAGGUGUUGGUGGUAUCAACGCCACCAGUGCCGAAGGUAACGCAUUAAGUGUCCCGCCUGGGGGGUACGGCCGCAAGGCUAAAACUCAAAGGAAUUGACGGGGCCCCGCACAAGCAGCGGAGCGUGGGGUUUAAUUCGAACCAACGCGAAGAACCUCAUCCGGGCUUGACAUCACCAGGAAUCCGGCGGAAUCGUGGGCCUUGCGCCAGGGGCCUCAUCACAGUUGUCACAUCGCUUUCGUCAAUUCGUGUCUUGAGAUGGCGGGGUAAGCCCCGCAACGAGCGCAACCCCUAUCGGUUGUGGUAUCAAUUACAAGAGGCUCCCGAGAGAAAAUCCGAGGAAGGCGGGGAAGGCGUCAAGUCAGCAUGGGCCCUUCCGCCCGGGGUACAACCCCUAUACAAUGGGCGGUGCCAGGGGGUUGGAAACCGGGAGGGGGAAGUCAUUCCCUAAAGCCGGUUUCAGUUCGGAUUGUAGAGUGCAACUCGCCUGCAUGAAGACGGAGUAGCUAUUGUCCGCCGGUCAGCAUACGGCGGUGAAUAUGUUGUUCGGGGCUUGUUCUCCCCGCCGCUCACGUCACCAAAGGUGGCAACUGCACGAAGAAGCAGGUACAAUAACCAAGUGAGGGUGCUAUCACU
rnacentral:rRNA from 1 species